AAGUCGUAACAAGGUUUCCGUAGGUGAACCUGCGGAAGGAUCAUUAUUGAAUACGAUUGGUACUGAUGCUGGCCCUUUACUGGGCAUGUGCUCGUCCAUCUAUUUAUCUUCUCUUGUGCACAUCUUGUAGUCUUGGAUGAACCCUUGCGCAUUCGUGCGGUCUGGGAGCUGCGAAUUAAAACCUUUCUUCUCCUGCUUGUCCAAGGCUAUGUUUUCAUAUACACUAUAAAGUUACAGAAUGUCAAUUAACGACUUGUGCUUGUCACGGUCAUUAAACCUAUACAACUUUCAGCAACGGAUCUCUUGGCUCUCCUAUCGAUGAAGAACGCAGCGAAAUGCGAUAAGUAAUGUGAAUUGCAGAAUUCAGUGAAUCAUCGAAUCUUUGAACGCACCUUGCGCCCUUUGGUAUUCCGAAGGGCAUGCCUGUUUGAGUGUCAUUAAAUUAUCAACCUUGCUCGCUUUUACCGGCUUGAGUUAGGCUUGGAUGUGAGGGUCUUUGCUGGCUUCCUUCAGUGGAUGGUCUGCUCCCUUUAAAUGCAUUAGUGGGAUCUCUUGUGGACCGUCACUUGGUGUGAUAAUUAUCUAUGCCAUCUUGACUUUGAAGCAAACUAAUGGGAACCUGCUCAUAACCGUCCUUUCAGGACAACUCUUGACAUUUUGACCUCAAAUCAGGUAGGACUACCCGCUGAACUUAAGCAUAUCAAUAAGCGGAGGAAAAGAAACUAACAAGGAUUCCCCUAGUAACUGCGAGUGAAGCGGGAAAAGCUCAAAUUUAAAAUCUGGCGGUCCCUGUGGCCGUCCGAGUUGUAAUUUAGAGAAGUGUUAUCCGUGCUGGACCGUGUACAAGUCUCCUGGAAUGGAGCGUCAUAGAGGGUGAGAAUCCCGUCUUUGACACGGACUGCCAGUGCUUUGUGAUGCGCUCUCAAAGAGUCGAGUUGUUUGGGAAUGCAGCUCAAAAUGGGUGGUAAAUUCCAUCUAAAGCUAAAUAUUGAGGAGAGACCGAUAGCGAACAAGUACCGUGAGGGAAAGAUGAAAAGAACUUUGGAAAGAGAGUUAAACAGUACGUGAAAUUGCUGAAAGGGAAACGCUUGAAGUCAGUCGCGCUGUUCAGGACUCAGCCUUGCUUUGCUUGGUGUACUUCCUGUUCGGUGGGUCAGCAUCAAUUUUGGUCGGUGGAUAAAGGCUUAGAGAAUGUGGCAUCUUCGGGUGUGUUAUAGCUCUGGGUCGCAUACAUCGGCUGGGAUUGAGGAACUCAGCACGCCGCAAGGCCGGGGACUUGUCCCACGUACGUGCUUAGGAUGCUGGCUUAAUGGCUUUAAUCGACC
rnacentral:rRNA from 1 species